rnacentral:lncRNA from 1 species
AUCACCAUAAAUAGUAGAAAUGGAAUUAGAGGGUUAAUGAUAUAUAUAAUUAAAUAUUAUCAAGUCUAUUUUUACAUGAAAGAAACGGUGUAGGCAAAGGAAUUUUAUAUUUUGAGAUAUUUAAAUUUUAGUGAGACAGGGUCAGAAUGGUUUUUGAAGUCCCCUGUUCUAACUUUAGAAAAUCAUUAUAAAUUGUACAGAAAUAAUUAUAGGUCAUAAUUUAUAUUUUUAGAUUCCUUAGUGAGUCUAUUUUCAAAAUAAAUUAAUGGUAACCUUAUAUGAAUUCUGUACAAUUAGAUAUUUGAUUUUUAGCGCCAAGAGGUCAGAUCUGUCGAGCUGUGAAACAGGGGAUACUUUAAUGAAUAAACUGUACUAAUGUGCUAAGUCAAAAAUUCUGAAAAUUUUAUGGUAAGUAGGAAUAUGAGUCUAGUUUCAC